CUGAAGGUGACGUUCUGCUGAAACGCAUAGCUGAGUGAACCAGUCUGGAGUGCCAUUAUCUAUGACUACGGGGCCAUCCAGCUCCCUCUCCUCCAUGGCGCUUCUUCCCACGCCGUGGAGAAAGGCAUGGAGGCUGCCUUUACAAGGGCUCCUGGCACACGUGCAGCUGUGUGAACUGCAGCAACGUGAGGCUGUCCUUCUGAACGCCACGCUGAGGACCACACGCACUCUUCCCCCACACCUGCACUGGUGCACCCUUCCCGGAGGCUGAGAAGACGGAGCGGUGUGUUUCUGGAGGCCCACCUGCUCUUCCCUCCUCUACACAAUGCAGACAGCCUGGCAACUAGAUACUGAUUUGGGGAAACCAGAAAACGGUCCUCGAAAAAUUAACAGUGUGGCUCUUCUCAAGGAGCCAUUCCUUCACCACCACCUCAAGGCCUUUAUCUUCUCCUUCCUGACCUUUCAAUGUCCACU
rnacentral:lncRNA from 1 species